rnacentral:tRNA from 1 species
AAAAACUUAGUUAAAUUAUAACAUUAACUUGUCAAGUUAAAAUUAUCAAUUAUGAUAGUUUUUA